rnacentral:rRNA from 1 species
CACCAAAGCAUUCUCUGGUGUUGAAGGCCCUGCAAAGCAGCAUCGCGGUGGCGGAGCGUCGUUUGCGACGCCCAACACACAAAACAAGCGGUGAAUGCUUUGGGGUGGGGUGACUGCGUACCUUUUGUAUAAUGGGUCAGCGACUUAUAUUCUGUAGCAAGGUUAACCGAAUAGGGGAGCCGGAGGGAAACCGAGUCUUAAUUGGGCGUUAAGUUGCAGGGUAUAGACCCGAAACCCGGUGAUCUAGCCAUGGGCAGGUUGAAGGUUGGGUAACACUAACUGGAGGACCGAACCGACUAAUGUUGAAAAAUUAGCGGAUGACCUGUGGCUGGGGGUGAAAGGCCAAUCAAACCGGGAGAUAGCUGGUUCUCCCCGAAAGCUAUUUAGGUAGCGCCUCGUGAAUUCAUCUCCGGGGGUAGAGCACUGUUUCGGCUAGGGGGCCAUCCCGGCUUACCAACCCGAUGCAAACUGCGAAUACCGGAGAAUGUUAUCACGGGAGACACACGGCGGGUGCUAACGUCCGUCGUGAAGAGGGAAACAACCCAGACCGCCAGCUAAGGUCCCAAAGUCAUGGUUAAGUGGGAAACGAUGUGGGAAGGCCCAGACAGCCAGGAUGUUGGCUUAGAAGCAGCCAUCAUUUAAAGAAAGCGUAAUAGCUCACUGGUCGAGUCGGCCUGCGCGGAAGAUGUAACGGGGCUAAACCAUGCACCGAAGCUGCGGCAGCGAACGUAUCACCCAAGACAACUUUACGGAGUUGACGAUUGACGGAGCGAAGCGACGUCAAAGCGUUCAUUAAAGUCGAGUUGGCUUAGGGAUACGUUCGUUGGGUAGGGGAGCGUUCUGUAAGCCUGUGAAGGUGUGUCGUGAGGCAUGCUGGAGGUAUCAGAAGUGCGAAUGCUGACAUAAGUAACGAUAAAGCGGGUGAAAAGCCCGCUCGCCGGAAGACCAAGG